rnacentral:misc_RNA from 1 species
GGAAGGAUCAUUAACAAAUUCAAAACGCGUGUUGUGUGUGGAAGGGGUGGGUGUGAACGCACCACACGCAAUGCACACACACACAAACACAAACAUUUGAAGAACAAAGAAAGGGACAAACCGAAAGAAUUAGAAACCACUUUUAACAAUGGAUCUCUUGGUUCUUGCAACGAUGAAGAACGCAGCGAACAGCGAAACGUGAUGUGAACUGCAGACUUUGAGAAUCAUCCAAUAUUUGAACGCACAUUGCACCUGGUCACCUAUGUGACAAGGUAUACUUGUUUGAGUAUCCAAAAGGAAAUUUGUUUCGAUUCUCUCAUUUCAAUGGGGAAUGAAGGGAGAGAAAAGAGAUGAAAGAUGAGGGAUCAAUGAUGUGAGAGAUGCGAUUGCAUUUGUGCAAGUUGUAUUGAUUGACUCAUUGUCCGUUUAAAAGUAGGACGAUAUUGAUGCAAGAGAUACACAUUUUUGUUUCAUGGAAAAAGGAUUGUUGGUUAAAAACGAUCUUGUUUCUAAUGAAAAGGAUUUGAUUUUUCAAACACGAGAUUUCUUCAUGAUUGGAAGAAUCUCACAAACCAUCGGGAUAACAUCCUGACGAUCGUUUGUUGAAAAGUGUUUGAAAUCGUUUUUAAAUGUGUAUGAAUUGAGAAUGAGUCCAAAAGAGGAGAGGGGAGGAGAAUGUGAAAACAUUUAUAUUCCGCCAAUCCAAGAAAUGUGUAAUCUAUUUUGAAGAUGGAUCUCAAAUCAAGUAAGGAUACCCGCUGAACUUAAGCAUAUUAGUAAGUGGAGGAAAAGAAACUAACAAGGAUUCCCAGAGUAACGGCGAGUGAAAGGGGAAGAGCUCAAAUUUGAAAUCUGGUAUUUUGUAAAAAGUAUCCGAAUUGUGAUUGAGAAAGUUCACUUGAAUUGAAGGAUGAAUUAAUCAAAGUUCUCUGGAAAGGGACAACAAAGAGGGUGAAAUUCCCGUUUGGAUUCAAUUGAUUCAUCAAAAGGAGAGAACUUGAAGAGUCGGAUUGUUUGGGAAUGCAGUCCAAAAAGGGUGGUACAUUUCAUCUAAAGCUAAAUAUAGGCAAGAGACCGAUAGUGAACAAGUACCGUGAGGGAAAGAUGAAAAGAACUUUGAAAAGAGAGUUAAAUAGGACGUGAAAUUGUUAAAAGGGAAACGAUUGAGACCAGGGAUGCGAUCCAUUUUUGAGUAUACUUUUUGGAGUGUACGUAUGAGUGGAUGGCGAGUUGACGGACCUUUUUAACUUUGGAAAAGACAAGAGGAAAAGUGGCAUUGACUUUUGAAGUGAAUUGCUUUAUAGACCUUUUGGGAUACAAAGUAAAAGAGGGAGACAAGUAGGAUUUCCUUGAGGGGAAUAUUCACGUUGACGAAAUGGUCUUAAACGACCCGUCUUGAAACACGGACCAAGGAGUCUAACGACUAUGCGAGUAUUUGAGUGGGAUAAAUUCGAAUGCGAAAAGAAAAUGAAAGCGUGGGAAUCAGUCAUUGAAGACAAAGAUGCACCAUGAACCGGUUCCAAGUUUUAAAAACAGGGAUUGAGUGAGAGCAUACGUGUUAGGACCCGAAAGAUGGUGAACUAUGCCUGAAUAGGGUGAAGCCAGGGGAAACUCUGGUGGAGGCUCGUAGACAUUCUGACGUGCAAAUCGAUGUUCAAAUUUGGGUAUAGGGGCGAAAGACUAAUCGAACCAUCUAGUAGCUGGUUCCCUU